rnacentral:rRNA from 1 species
UACAGAGGGUGCAAGCGUUAAUCGGAAUUACUGGGCGUAAAGCGCACGUAGGCGGUUGGUUAAGUUGGAUGUGAAAGCCCCGGGCUCAACCUGGGAAUUGCAUUCAAAACUGGCCAACUAGAAUACGGGAGAGGGGGGUAGAAUUCCAAGUGUAGCGGUGAAAUGCGUAGAGAUUUGGAGGAAUACCAGUGGCGAAGGCGGCCCCCUGGCCCGAUAUUGACGCUGAGGUGCGAAAGCGUGGGAAGCAAACAGG